rnacentral:rRNA from 1 species
UACGUAGGGCGCAAGCGUUGUCCGGAAUUAUUGGGCGUAAAGAGCUCGUAGGCGGUCUGUCACGUCUGCUGUGAAAACUCGGGGCUUAACCCCGGGCCUGCAGUGGGUACGGGCAGACUAGAGUGCGGUAGGGGAGACUGGAAUUCCUGGUGUAGCGGUGAAAUGCGCAGAUAUCAGGAGGAACACCGGUGGCGAAGGCGGGUCUCUGGGCCGAUACUGACGCUGAGGAGCGAAAGCGUGGGGAGCGAACAGG